rnacentral:rRNA from 1 species
CCUACGGGAGGCAGCAGUAGGGAAUCUUCCACAAUGGGCGAAAGCCUGAUGGAGCAACGCCGCGUGGGUGAAGAAGGUCUUCGGAUCGUAAAACCCUGUUGUUAGAGAAGAAAGUGCGUGAGAGUAACUGUUCACGUUUCGACGGUAUCUAACCAGAAAGCCACGGCUAACUACGUGCCAGCAGCCGCGGUAAUACGUAGGUGGCAAGCGUUAUCCGGAUUUAUUGGGCGUAAAGGGAACGCAGGCGGUCUUUCAAGUCUGAUGUGAAAGCCUUCGGCUUAACCGGAGUAGUGCAUUGGAAACUGGGAGACGUGAGUGCAGAAGAGGAGAGUGGAACUCCAUGUGUAGCGGUGAAAUGCGUAGAUAUAUGGAAGAACACCAGUGGCGAAGGCGGCUCUCUGGUCUGUAACUGACGCUGAGGUUCGAAAGCGUGGGUAGCAAACAGGAUUAGAUACCCCGGUAGUC